rnacentral:tRNA from 1 species
GCGCCCGUAGCUCAGUGGAUAGAGCGUUGGCCUCCGGAGCCAAAAGCGUAGGUUCGAUUCCUAUCGGGCGUACCA